rnacentral:rRNA from 1 species
GACGAACGCUGGCGGCGUGCCUAAUACAUGCAAGUAGAACGCUGAAGGAGGAGCUUGCUUCUCCGGAUGAGUUGCGAACGGGUGAGUAACGCGUAGGUAACCUGCCUGGUAGCGGGGGAUAACUAUUGGAAACGAUAGCUAAUACCGCAUAACAGUAGAUAUCGCAUGAUAUCUGCUUGAAAGGUGCAAUUGCAUCACUACCAGAUGGACCUGCGUUGUAUUAGCUAGUUGGUGAGGUAACGGCUCACCAAGGCGACGAUACAUAGCCGACCUGAGAGGGUGAUCGGCCACACUGGGACUGAGACACGGCCCAGACUCCUACGGGAGGCAGCAGUAGGGAAUCUUCGGCAAUGGACGGAAGUCUGACCGAGCAACGCCGCGGGAGUGAAGAAGGGUUUCGGAUCGUAAAGCUCUGUUGUAAGAGAAGAACGAGUGUGAGAGUGGAAAGUUCACACUGUGACGGUAUCUUACCAGAAAGGGACGGCUAACUACGUG